AUCCGUAGGGGGAGAGCGUUGCCCGGAAUGCUUGGGCGUAAAGGGCGCGUAGGCGGCCCGGUAAGUCUGGAGUGAAAGCCGUGUUUUUGAGAUGGGAUUUGCUUUGGAUACUGUCGGCCUUGAGUGAAGGAGAGGUAAGUGGAAUUCCCAGGGAAGUGGUGAAAUGCGUAGAGAUUGGGAGGAACACCAGUGGCGAAGGCGACUUACUGGACUGUAACUGACGCUGAGGCGCGAAAGUGUGGGGAGCAAACAGGAUUAGAUACCCUGGUAGUCCACACUGUAAACGAUGAAUGCUAGGUGUAGGGGGUAUCGACCCCUUCUGUGCCGCAGUCAACACAAUAAGCAUUCCGCCUGGGGAGUACGGCCGCAAGGUUGAAACUCAAAUGAAUUGACGGGG
rnacentral:rRNA from 1 species